AACUUUAACCAAAAUAGAAAUAAUCAAAAAUAAAUGCAAAAUUUAAAAGGAAGCUAAUUGAAACUUAUUUAAAAACUAGAAAUUUAAUCUUCGUGGCCACUCUGAAUCCCCCUAGCUCCAAGUCCACCAACUAGGGCUCACCUGCAAUGAUGGAAGAGAAAGGGGGUGAGUUUGGAAAACUCAGUGUGUAUGGAAAACCC
rnacentral:lncRNA from 1 species